rnacentral:lncRNA from 1 species
GUGCAAAUACGGCAAGCACUAAGACAGGUUUCUGAAAUGUAAUAUUGAUGCUAGCUUCUGGAGGGCAGAAUAUGAGGUCGGGUAUGACGGAGUUAUACGUGAUUCUACGGACAAUGUAGUUGUCGCAUUCUCUGGCCGCCUGAAGGGUUGCCACUCGACGCACGUUGUUGAAUUGUUGGGAUGUUGAAGAACUUUGGAAUACAUACACGCACGUAUUCAGGGGCUAGGAACUGUAGAGAUAGAUGCUUAGACAGUCUAUAAUACACUGACAGCUCGGGAGGAAGAUGAGUCUGAACAUGGUUUCAUCGUAACGGACUAUAGAUCAAUGUUGAUGUCGAGACCAAAGAUUUCAUUCAAGUGGGUGAGAAGACAAUGUAACAAGGUAGCUCAU